rnacentral:rRNA from 1 species
UACAGAGGUCUCAAGCGUUGUUCGGAUUCAUUGGGCGUAAAGGGUGCGUAGGUGGCGCUGUAAGUCGGGUGUGAAAUUUCGGAGCUUAACUCCGAAACUGCAUUCGAUACUGUGGUGCUUGAGGACUGGAGAGGAGACUGGAAUUUACGGUGUAGCAGUGAAAUGCGUAGAGAUCGUAAGGAAGACCAGUGGCGAAGGCGGGUCUCUGGACAGUUCCUGACACUGAGGCACGAAGGCCAGGGGAGCAAACGGG